UUUAACGCUGGCGGUAUGCUUAACACAUGCAAGUCGAACGGAAACGAUGGUAGCUUGCUACCAGGCGUCAAGUGGCGGACGGGUGAGUAACGCGUAGGAAUCUGCCCAGUAGUGGGGGACAACCAGGGGAAACCCUGGCUAAUACCGCAUACACUCUACGGAGAAAAGGAGGCCUCUUCUUGAAAGCUUUCGCUAUUGGAUGAGCCUGCGUGAGAUUAGCUAGUUGGUAGGGUAAAGGCCUACCAAGGCGACGAUCUCUAGCUGGUCUGAGAGGACGAUCAGCCACACUGGGACUGAGACACGGCCCAGACUCCUACGGGAGGCAGCAGUGGGGAAUAUUGGACAAUGGGCGCAAGCCUGAUCCAGCAAUACCGCGUGUGUGAAGAAGGCCCUAGGGUUGUAAAGCACUUUCAGCAGUGAAGAAAUGCUUAAGGUUAAUAACCUUGAGUCUUACGUUACCUAAGGAAUAAGCACCGGCUAAAUACGUGCCAGCAGCCGCGGUAAUACGUAUGGUGCAAGCGUUAAUCGGAAUUACUGGGCGUAAAGCGCGCGUAGGCGGUUAGUUAAGUUAGAUGUGAAAGCCCCGGGCUCAACCUGGGAACUGCAUUUAAAACUGGUUAACUAGAGUAUGGUAGAGGAGAGUGGAAUUUCAGGUGUAGCGGUGAAAUGCGUAGAUAUCUGAAGGAACACCAGUGGCGAAGGCGGCUCUCUGGACCAAUACUGACGCUGAGGUGCGAAAGCGUGGGUAGCAAACGGGAUUAGAUACCCCGGUAGUCCACGCCGUAAACGAUGUCUGUCAACUAGCUGUUGGGCGUUUCCGCUUAGUGGUGCAGCUAACGCAAUAAGUUGACCGCCUGGGGAGUACGGCCGCAAGGCUAAAACUCAAAUGAAUUGACGGGGGCCCGCACAAGCGGUGGAGCAUGUGGUUUAAUUCGAUGCAACGCGAAGAACCUUACCUACCCUUGACAUACAGAGAACUUUCCAGAGAUGGAUUGGUGCCUUCGGGAGCUCUGAUACAGGUGCUGCAUGGCUGUCGUCAGCUCGUGUCGUGAGAUGUUGGGUUAAGUCCCGUAACGAGCCAAACCCUUAUCCUUAGCUGCUAACAUUUAGUUGGGAGCACUUUAAGGAGACUGCCGGUGAUAAACCGGAGGAAGGUGGGGACGACGUCAAGUCAUCAUGGCCCUUAUGGGUAGGGCUACACACGUGCUACAAUGGCCGGUACAGAGGGCUGCGAACCUGCGAGGGUAAGCGAAUCUCAGAAAGCCGGUCCUAGUCCGGAUUGCAGUCUGCAACUCGACUGCAUGAAGUCGGAAUCGCUAGUAAUCGCGAAUCAGAAUGUCGCGGUGAAUACGUUCCCGGGCCUUGUACACACCGCCCGUC
rnacentral:rRNA from 1 species